rnacentral:rRNA from 1 species
CCGGACUGCGCGCAGCCUGAUCAGCAUGCCGCGUGCAGGAAGAAGGCCUUCGGGUUGUAAACUGCUUUUGUACGGAACGAAACGGUCCGGGUUAAUACCCUGGGCUAAUGACGGUACCGUAAGAAUAAGCACCGGCUAACUACGUGCCAGCAGCCGCGGUAAUCAACUUCCGAAACCUUCCCCAAACAAAAAAAAAAAAAUAUUCAAAAAACCGGGGGGGGGGGGGGGGUACUAUUUUUUUUUUUU